rnacentral:tRNA from 1 species
GCGGAUGUGGUGGAACUGGCAGACACGCCAGAUUUAGGUUCUGGUGGGCGACCGUGGGGGUUCGAGUCCCUUCAUCCGCA